UAAAAUAUAAAUGAUGAUGCAAACUAUAAAAUACAAAUAUAAGUGCGAACUAUAAAAUAUAAAGACAAAUAAAAAUAUAAAAAAUGAAUACAAAUACAAGCGCGAACAAAAUAGAAGCGUAUAAAAUACAAAUACAAUUGUAUCAAGGAAUAAAAAAAUCUAAAUGAUGGUGCGAACUAUAAAAUACAUAUACAUGUGCGAACUACAAAAUACAAAUUCAAAUACAAACACG
rnacentral:lncRNA from 1 species